CCCUUAGAUGUUCUGGGCCGCGCGCGCGCUACACUGAUGCAUUCAACGAGCCUAUCCUUGACCGACAGGUCCGGGUAAUCUUUGAAUCUGCAUCGUGACGGGGAUAGAUUAUUGCAAUUAUUAAUCUUCAACGAGGAAUGCCUAGUAGGCGCAAGUCAUCAGCUUGCGUCGAUUACGUCCCUGCCCUUUGUACACACCGCCCGUCGCUCCUACCGAUUGGGUGUGCUGGUGAAAUGUUCGGAUCGGCCGUUUGUCGCGGUUUCCGCGUCAUGUGGCUGAGAAGUUCAUUAAACCCUCCCACCUAGAGGAAGGAGAAGUCGUAACA
rnacentral:rRNA from 1 species